rnacentral:lncRNA from 1 species
AAACAAGUUUCAUAGAAAUUGAAAUAUUCAACCAUAUAUACAUACAAACCAAUACUAUAUCUUAAUUUUUAUGUCUUUUGAUUUGCCUGAAUAGUUUUUGACAAACAUUUAGUGGAAAGUUUGAAUUCAGUUUUAAUAUUUGAAUUUUUAAAAACUAAUUAAGGUAAAAUACUUUCUUUUUGCUACUGUGCAUGCUGCCAAUUUUUUCAAAGUGUUUUAAAUGGUUGACUUUGUGGAGUUUCUUUUUUGUAAAAGUUUCAGACUUGUAUCAAGUAUUUUCUCCUUCUUCUGAUAUUUAGUUUUUGAAGUUAAUGUUUUAAAUGAUUGAUUUUGAGGGAUUUUUUUUGUCAACAAUUUUAUAAUGGUGAUAUCAUGAAUAUUGAAUAUUGUUAAUAAAAUUUUAUAUUAUGAAGGACAAAACUAAUCAAAAUGCUUUUUUUUAAGCAUUAUAUUUCUCUUGUUUAAAUCACAGUUUUGUAACAAAGUCUGAGAUUGCUGAUUACACAAGGAGUCUGCUUGUCAAUUAUUUCUAAUGGACAAUCAAUAUUCUAUAAGGCCAACCUCAUUCUGGCUACACAUGAGGGUCUGGAUGGGGUUAAAAGAAUAGAGAAUAAUGGGAUAAAACUUCAGAUAUUGUGUAUUCAUUUAUUUUCAUGGCUACCAAUUUUCAUGGAUUAAGGAAAUCUUGCAUUUUUGUGAACAUUUGAUUUCAUGGUUUUGUCCAUCUUCGCUAGCCAAGGGUUACGAUCCACUCCCGUUCUCUUCACCCUUGGCGGAUUGAGUUUACAUUUGUGAUAUCAAUGUUGCGCCAUCUAUCGGAUGAUUAAAGUCACGCUCAUUCCGAAUACAUUAUUCUUGACCAAUGGUAGCACUUGAACUCUUCAAUUUGGAGGUAAAAACACGAUAGCGUCUAGAUUCUACACACCUGGUAAAACCGGAAACGAAAAUAUACGUCAACAUUCACGUAUUUGUGCAUGAAACAUACACAGGAACUUCUAUUAGUUGAUUAAAAACAUUCAAGUUGUCACUAAAUAUAGUUGUUUGUUUAGUAAUGUAAAGACUUGUUGCACAAUAAACACGUGGCAAUUGUUUACAAACACUUUCUAAAUCUACACGUGAUCAUGUUAUAUAUGCUUUUUGAUUGGAUGCAGCGAGUUUCUACUGCAACCAAUAAAAAUCCUUACCUUGUGUCUCCGAAAUUUUAUCUCAAUCUGCCAAGGGUGAAGAGAACGGGAGUGGAUUGUAACACUUGGCUAGCGAAGAUGGGUUUUGUCAAAGUGUGCAUACAACCAAAUACAUGUAGCAAGUUUGUGAUUUGUGGAAUAUAUAAAUUUGUGGGUCACCUGUACCAAUGAAAAAGAGGAAAAUUGGUUUCCAACGAAUGAUAAUGAAUCCCCACCAUGUGAUCCACAGUAGGAUAAAAAUAUGAAGAAAAGAGAAAAAUGGCGGAAAAAAUAAAAGAGAAUAAUUGGGUGCUGAAAUAUAAAGAAUAAAGAAAAAGGGGGAAAAAAUAACAAAAAAAUAAAGGAUCCCAUCCAGACCACAAAUAUCUUUGAUUUUAAACUUAUUAUUUUAUUGCCAAAAAUUCCACUAAAAAGCUAUUUGGGAUUGUGAUUAAAUUGUUUUAUUUUUUUUUCACCGAAUUCAUAUAGGCCUUUUAUUGUUAAACCAUUUUUACGGGAAAAUUGUUACUUUAUGGAUUAUUAUGUAUUCAAACAAUCAAAUGAUAGAUUUUUGUAAAAGAUUUAAAGUUAUACAUAAUUUUGUCUUUAAGUUUUGAAGCCUGAUUACAGGCCUUGUUGUUGUGAAUGAAAUUUGUCUCAGAUAUAGUUUACAAUACCCAAAUGGAUUAGUGUGAUAGAAAUGUAUUUUGUAAUCUCUCAUAGUCUCAUUUGAAUUUCUCCACAUUGUUUGAGUAGCUGUGGAGGACAUGAAUAAAGGUCGAAGAGUGGUCAAGACUAAUUUUAAUGGUCAGUCAGUUAGUCUGAAUGUUGGUAACUCUGAGUUACACCUUGAGGGCCCCAAGUUUGCAAGAAAGCUUACAUGACUUGGUGUUUGACAGAUUGUUCAAAAGAAAAGUGUGAUAUUUUAGCUUAAGAGAAAUAACAUCUAUAAAGUAGAAGCAAAAUGGAUCAGAGGUCCUAUGAUCCAGAUGCUAUUUUUUGUUUACAAUAUUUUAUUUUCAUGAGUUAUCCAGUCAUAAAAUGAAGGUAAACACAUCAUUGUACACAAAUGUAUAUAAUAUUUUUUGGGGCAUACAAAUAUUUUACCAUUAUGAUUUUGAACAGUCCAUGCAGAAAGUUUAUUGUUUAAAUAACAACCAAGUUAUUCAAUUGAACUAUUACAAAUGUACUUGUAACAUUUUUGAUUGCAUUUAAGAAGUCAUAGAAUAAAUAACUUUGCAUAUCACAGGUACAAAAUGAAUAUUCUGUAAAAGAAAAUGCAGGAAACAGUUUUGAACAAAAAAUUGAUUUUUUUUUAUAAUUGUUAAAAAUAAGCACUUUUAGCAAGUAAUGAAAAUGAACAUUAAACAGAGAAAAAAACUUCCCCCUUUCUGAUACAUUUAUUGGUUGGUUGUCGCCUAAAUUGAUUAUUCAUAGCCUUUAAAUAGACUUGAGUUACAGAAAUUGAAUUAAUAGCAAACACCACUUCAUGUAUUAUUGUGACUGCCCUUCUCUAAUUCAGAGAUGAAGACAUUUCUGUUUUAAAUGUGCAAUAUCCAGUGUUUGGAGUAACAGUUGCAAUGUCAUUUAUUAAACAGACAAAUUCAAAAACAAAAUAUCAUUCAUUGUACUUAAUUUCAUUUAAAUUUUAUGUUUUGGGACAUAAGUUUUUAUUUUCCAUUUAACAUAUUUUUUAUUGUUGUCAAGGAACAUUUAUAUUGUAUUUUUGAAGAAAAAUGUGGUUUUACAUAUAAAAUACAAAUGUACAACAAAUAACUGUGAUUGAGUUUGAUAAUUUACAUGUACUAAAAUUUCUUUUUUUCUAAACAUAAUAAUCAGACAAAAUAUGGUAAAACCCUGUAUAAACUUUUUUAUAGUUAUCACUUAAACUAUUCCAUUGUCCUGAAGUGAUUUGUGAGUGUAGUGUUACAACAGGGAAGUAAUUUAAUGUGAUAUACUUUUAUCUGGAGUUGCUGAGAAAGUAGAAAGAUGAUUGAGAUUAUUUAGUUAUGAUAUUUUCCUUGUAAAAUGAUUCAUCUAUAAUAUUUUUUCCACUAUGACUUCUCUUAAAGAUAAUACCGGAAGGGGAGUUACCAUUUGAUUUUUUCAUGGGUGGGUGGCUAGGAUGAAUAAUGUUUAAAAAGACACAAUGACAAUUUAUGUAAAACAAAAAGUCAGUAAAAACUAAUAAAAAAAGGUAGGACCAAAUAGAUUGAAAAAUAAAAAGUCAGGACAGUGAUCACAACUAUAAACAAAAAUUGGAGGACAAAAUUUGUCAUCCUUUUCUCUCCCCCCCCCCCUUUCCUCCGCCCACUCGAACCCUAAAAAUCAAAUGGUAGCUCCCUAUCUAAUGUGUAUGAAAAUUCAUUUGAUAUCUGAUCAAUAAACUAGAUUGUACUUUGGACUCUUCUCUGAAGAGUUUCUAUUGUCAUUAAUAGAUGUACUUUUAAAAACAACCAAUCAUUAAUAAGCAUAUUCUUCCUUGACAUAGAGAGGAAUGUAACAUCAGUUUUACAAUUGCAUGCAAUAAAACUUGCACUAGCUUCCCAAACACUAAAAAAUAAUUGGCUGAAGAUGAUCAAUUUGAUCUAUAAAGAGAUUAUAACUUUCAAUAUUUUUUUAAUAUUGAGUAUAUUAAAACUCUUCUUAUAAUUUUCCUGUUAGACAGGUUUUACCAGUUAUCUUUUAGAGAGAUGAUUUGUGUGAAAUAUUACUGCCUUUUAAUAAAGAAAAAUCAUGUCAUUUAAUAUUGUGAAAUUAGUUUGAUAGUAAUGAUUUUAAUUUGUCACAGUCAUGAUUGAUAGUAAUGAUUUUAAUUUGUCACAGUCAUGAAUGGCAAAUUUUAAAUCAUUGAAACUUGUACUAUUAUUUUCAUGUUGAGAUUGAAUACGGUUAUGAGAAAGAGUCUGAUUAAAAGUUGUUUAUAA